GAAAUAAACCUAUUGCUAUUUUUUCUGCUCAAUUACAGAUUAUCGAAUAAAAAUAAAUUGCCUUAUACCUCCAAUUUGCUUCCAUAGCUUGGUAUGCAGAACAGUGGAAAAUCACUAAGACACACAGAUGUAGUUGUAGAUGUUGACACUGGUUUUACUUAGAGGUCGUAAUGAUCUUCUGAAGUUUCUCAUUAACUAAAAUCUGAAGAAAAUGUGAGAGAAAUUACGUACAUUUCCUCAACAGCAAUUGAGAAAUCCCGGAGCAAAGAAAAAAUGUGAUUUCUUAAAUUGUUUUCAAAGAAGUUGUUUCUAUGCUAAAGAUAAUAAGUACAUUGAUAGCAUUUCUCAAAAUAGUUCUCUGAAGAGUUAGUAUAUUGUUUACACAUUUAAAGAACACCUGUAUCCAUAUCAAGAGGAAGAGAGCCUAAUUUAUUAUAAUUCUGAACAAGAAAUGAAUAUCAUAGAAGCAGAAUCCAGGAAUCUUCCCAAAGCAUAUGAAUGGAAGUAAAUUUCUUACCCUAAAGGAGUAUUUUAAAUAAACAGUGUGUAUCAGCCAAUGGUAGGGAUUUAUUUCUAUCCUGAGUUGGUUUUGAUAAAGAUGUGAAAAACUAAA
rnacentral:lncRNA from 1 species